CCAACUAUCACUCAAAUUGAAGAGACAGAGUUUGGCAUUCCCACGAGCACAUCUUUUGUGCAUCCAAUUUCUUCUUUAGCUCUGCUUCUUUGAAUACGCGAAGUGACACAAGUAGUCCUGAGAGAGGUCUAAGAAGGGAAAAGAAAACGGGGAUUUGGGAUUGGCUCACCUCCCUUAUCAAGCAAAUAGAACGGCUUCCUGAGGCAAGAAGAAACGUAGAUUUUACCAAUGAGAAAUGAGGAGGCCUGCCAGAACCCCAGCCGACCCUGCACACUUACUGUGAACCUACUGAGUGCCAGGGCCUGUGCCAAGUGCUCUGGGGCAUAGAGGUGAGUAAGUCAUGGUCAUCACUCAUUGAUUU
rnacentral:lncRNA from 13 species